GAUGAACGCUGGCGGCGUGCCUAAUACAUGCAAGUCGAGCGAAUGGAUUAAGAGCUUGCUCUUAUGAAGUUAGCGGCGGACGGGUGAGUAACACGUGGGUAACCUGCCCAUAAGACUGGGAUAACUCCGGGAAACCGGGGCUAAUACCGGAUAACAUUUUGAACCGCAUGGUUCGAAAUUGAAAGGCGGCUUCGGCUGUCACUUAUGGAUGGACCCGCGUCGCAUUAGCUAGUUGGUGAGGUAACGGCUCACCAAGGCAACGAUGCGUAGCCGACCGGAGAGGGUGAUCGGCCACACUGGGACGAAGAGACGGCCCAGACUCCUACGGGAGGCAGCAGUAGGGAAUCUUCCGCAAUGGACGAAAGUCUGACGGAGCAACGCCGCGUGAGUGAUGAAGGCUUUCGGGUCGUAAAACUCUGUUGUUAGGGAAGAACAAGUGCUAGUUGAAUAAGCUGGCACCUUGACGGUACCUAACCAGAAAGCCACGGCUAACUACGUGCCAGCCGCCGCCGUAA
rnacentral:rRNA from 1 species